UAAAAGAAAUAACUUUUAGUAUAGCCUGCUCAAUGAUUUAAAUAGCCGCAGACCUCUGUGCUAAGGUAGCAUAAUCAUUUGCCUAAUAAUUAUAGGAUAGAAUGAAAGGUUUCACAUGUUUCCUUCUUUAUUAAAAAGGUAAUUUUAAUUUAAGAUUUAAGUAAAAUCCCUUAAAUUAUUAGGGGGACGACAAGACCCUGUCGAACUUAACAUUCACGUUUAGCUGGGGCGGCAAAAAAUCAAACCUUUUUACUAUCUUUUACAAUAAACCCUACCCUAGGAUAAACAAGUUACCGCAGGGAUAACAGCAUAAUUUUUUCCUAAAGACCUUAUUUAAGAAUAAGAUUGUGACCUCGAUGUUGAAUUAAAAUUCUUUUAGAAGCAAAAUUCUAAAUAGAGGGUCUGUUCGACCCUUAAAAAUUU
rnacentral:rRNA from 1 species